CUGCAGGACUGUGCUCCACCACCUCUCGCUCACAUGGUCCCGCACAGCUCACGCCACCACCAUCAGCCCAACUGCUCGUAAUCCGGCUGCUGGAACGAAGUGGCAGAUGGAAGAGGUUCUAAGAAGCCCCUGUUCAGACAUGAUACAAAGAAACUCCCGGAGGCCCCAAAGUGAGUGCUUGGGCUGGCCAUUGGACACUUCCACGGGAAGAAACUGAAGCAUCUGAGAUGAGUGGCAAAUAUUCCCUCCUGCUCUGCCUUCUUUGCUGGUGGCUGGCAGAAGGACAAGAUGAACACCAGAAGUGACUCCGCUUGCAGUCCCUCAGCCUUGGGGUGCAGGCUGCCUGCUGCUGGUCAUCUGGGAAGGGUUCAUUGCCAGCCCUCUAGCUGGUCCUCUGAGGCCUGGACC
rnacentral:lncRNA from 1 species